UUUAUAGAUCAUGUCUGUAAAAAUGGCGUGUACCUGCCGUUGCAGAAAUAUAUCAUAUUAGAUUGAAAAGAUGAUGACGCAAAUGGUUCAUUGAAUCAACGAUGGUUCUUGAGAUCGUAAACGCUUCGUGAGCAACUGUAGUAAAUAUAGAGCCAAAAUAUGCCUUGAAUCCCUUGCCCACAGGAGAACGGGUGUAUCUUUUAGAACAGAACCGACAGACUGCGGCUUCAUCUGUGUCUGUUAAAUUCUGAGUUGACUCCGGAUAACUUUGCUGAUCGCGAUCGACCUUGUGUCGGCAACGUAUGUUUUAAAUCUCCGACCCGUCAGUUUGUUGGUAGAUGGUUUUCCCAUCAUUAGGACAACGAGUGACGGGGGAUCAGGGUUCAACUCCGGAGAGGGGCCUGGGAAAUCGCUGCUACAUUCAAAGACGGCACCAGGCGCGCAGAGUACCCACUACGGCACGAGGAGGUAGUGAUGAA
rnacentral:ncRNA from 1 species